rnacentral:rRNA from 1 species
UACGGAGGGUGCGAGCGUUAAUCGGAAUUACUGGGCGUAAAGGGCACGCAGGCGGUCUUUUAAGUGAGAUGUGAAAUCCCCGGGCUCAACCUGGGAAUAGCAUUUCAGACUGGGAGUCUAGAGUACUUUAGGGAGGGGUAGAAUUCCACGUGUAGCGGUGAAAUGCGUAGAGAUGUGGAGGAAUACCGAUGGCGAAGGCAGCCCCCUGGGAAUCUACUGACGCUCAUGUGCGAAAGCGUGGGUAGCAAACAGG